GCAAACUUGGUCAUUUAGAGGAAGUAAAAGUCGUAACAAGGUUUCCGUAGGUGAACCUGCGGAAGGAUCAUCAAUGAAUUUCCAAAUUCAUCUUGGCUUUGAGUGAAGAACUUUUCGGCAUUUUGCUGGAUAGUUUGUAACCCAUUGCCUUUAUCAACCAGGAGUCGCUGUCUAAGUAACGAAGGUGUCUUGGGAGCUUGCCUUUUAUGAAGGCACGCACCAAUUACGCAAGCCCUUUGUGAAACGACUUUGACUUUUUGAGUAGGAUUUUGGUUUGGGUUCCUGCGGGAACUUUUAACCUCUCUUACUCAUUUACUGUGGGCAUCAUAUUUAAUUAAAAUACAACUUUUAACGAUGGAUCUCUUGGCUCCCGCAUCGAUGAAGAACGCAGC
rnacentral:misc_RNA from 1 species